GACGAACGCUGGCGGCGUGCCUAAUACAUGCCAGUCGAACGAAAGCGCCCGGUGCCUGCUCUGGUCAAUCUAGUGGCGAACGGGUGAGUAACACGUGGAUAACCUGCCCAUCCGGGGGAGAUAACCUACUGAAACGGAUGCCAAAACCGCAUAAGGCUUCGAGCCGCAUGGUUUGCCGGGGACAAGAUGCGCAGGCUUCUGGUGAUCGAUGUACCAGGGGUGCGUUAGCUAGGUGGUGAGGUAACGGCUCACCAAGGCCGUGGGGGAUAGCCCACCUGAGGGGGUGAACGACCACCUGGGGAGUGAGACACGGCACAAACUCCGGCGGGAGGCAGCAGUAGGGAAUCUUACGCGAUGGAGGAGAGUCUGACGGAGCAACGCGGCGUGAGUGAAGAAGGUGUUCGGAUCGGAAAACUCUGUUGGUAGAGAAGAAGAAGUGCUAGAGUAACUGUUAGGGCAUUGACGGUAUCUAAACAGAAAGCCACGGCUAACUACGUG
rnacentral:rRNA from 1 species